rnacentral:rRNA from 1 species
CAGGGGAAACGAUAGAGAAAGCUUGCUUUUUCUAGGCGUCGACCGGCGCACGGGUGAGUAACGCGUAUCCAACCUGCCCACCACUUGGGAAUAACCUUGCGAAAGUAAGACUAAUACCCAAUGAUAUCUCUAGAAGACAUCUGAAGGAGAUUAAAGAUUUAUCGGUGAUGGAUGGGGAUGCGUCUGAUUAGCUUGUUGGCGGGGUAACGGCCCACCAAGGCGACGAUCAGUAGGGGUUCUGAGAGGAAGGUCCCCCACAUUGGAACUGAGACACGGUCCAACUCCUACGGGAGGCAGCAGUGAGGAAUAUUGGUCAAUGGGCGAGAGCCUGAACCAGCCAAGUAGCGUGCAGGAAGACGGCCCUAUGGGUUGUAAACUGCUUUUAUAAGGGAAUAAAGUGAGUCUCGUGAGGCUUUUUGCAUGUACCUUAUGAAUAAGGACCGGCUAAUUCCGUGCCAGCAGCCGCGGUAAUACGGAAGGUCCGGGCGUUAUCCGGAUUUAUUGGGUUUAAAGGGAGCGUAGGCCGGAGAUUAAGCGUGUUGUGAAAUGUAGAUGCUCAACGUCUGCACUGCAGCGCGAACUGGUUUCCUUGAGUACGCACAAAGUGGGCGGAAUUCGUGGUGUAGCGGUGAAAUGCUUAGAUAUCACGAAGAACUCCGAUUGCGAAGGCAGCUCACUGGAGCGCAACUGACGCUGAAGCUCGAAAGUGCGGGUAUCGAACAGGAUUAGAUACCCUGGUAGUCCGCACGGUAAACGAUGGAUGCCCGCUGUUGGCCUGAAUAGGUCAGCGGCCAAGCGAAAGCAUUAAGCAUCCCACCUGGGGAGUACGCCGGCAACGGUGCAACUCAAAUGAAUUGACGG